UCGAGGGGCAGCGGGGGCGAAAGCUUGCUUUCGCCUGCCGGCGACCGGCGCACGGGUGAGUAACACGUAUGGAACCUGCCCUAUGCAGGGGGAUAAGCGGAAGAAAUUCCGUCUAAUACCGCAUAACACCAUUUGGAGACAUCUCCAGGGGGUCAAAGGAGGCGACUCCGGCAUAGGAUGGCCAUGCGUCGCAUUAGCUAGUCGGCGGGGUAACGGCCCACCGAGGCGACGAUGCGUAGGGGUUCUGAGAGGAAGGUCCCCCACACUGGUACUGAGACACGGACCAGACUCCUACGGGAGGCAGCAGUGAGGAAUAUUGGUCAAUGGGCGCAAGCCUGAACCAGCCAAGUCGCGUGAGGGAAGACGGUCCUAUGGAUUGUAAACCUCUUUUGUCGGGGAGCAAAGCGCGGGUACGAGUGCCGUGAAAGACAGUACCCGAAGAAAAAGCAUCGGCUAACUCCGUGCCAGCAGCCGCGGUAAUACGGAGGAUGCGAGCGUUAUCCGGAUUUAUUGGGUUUAAAGGGUGCGUAGGCGGAUUUGUAAGUCAGCGGUAAAAAUGCGGUGCUCAACGCCGUAUCGCCGUUGAAACUGCAGGUCUUGAGUGAGCGGGAAGUAUGCGGAAUGCGUGGUGUAGCGGUGAAAUGCAUAG
rnacentral:rRNA from 1 species